GGCGGACGGGUGAGUAACGCGUGAGCAACCAACCUUAAUGCAGAAGGGAUAACAAAUUAGAAAUGAUUGCUAAUACCUCAUAAGACCACGCUAUCGCAUGGUAAAGUGGGAAAAAACUCCGGUGGCAUAAGACGGGCUCGCGUUCGAUUAGCUGGAUGGUGGGGUAACGGCCUACCAUGGCGACGAUCGAUAGCCGGACUGAGAGGUCGACCGGCCACAUUGGGACUGAGACACGGCCCAGACUCCUACGGGAGGCAGCAGUGGGGAAUAUUGCACAAGUGGGGGAAACCCUGAUGCAAGCGACGCCGCGUGAGUGAAGAAGUAUUUCGGUAUGUAAACUUCUAUCAGCAGGGAAGAUGAUGACCGGUACCUGACUAAGAACGCCCCGGCUAACUACGUGCCAGCAGCAGC
rnacentral:rRNA from 1 species